rnacentral:rRNA from 1 species
GACGAACGCUGGCGGCGUGCCUAAUACAUGCAAGUCGAGCGGACUUUCAAGAAGCUUGCUUUUUGAAAGUUAGCGGCGGACGGGUGAGUAACACGUGGGCAACCUGCCUGCAAGACGGGGAUAACUCCGGGAAACCGGGGCUAAUACCGGAUAAUAUCUUCCUUCGCAUGAAGGAAGGUUGAAAGGCGGCGCAAGCUGCCGCUUGCAGAUGGGCCCGCGGCGCAUUAGCUAGUUGGUGAGGUAACGGCUCACCAAGGCGACGAUGCGGAGCCGACCUGAGAGGGUGAUCGGCCACACUGGGACUGAGACACGGCCCAGACGCCUACGGGAGGCAGCAGUAGGGAAUCUUCCGCAAUGGACGAAAGUCUGACGGAGCAACGCCGCGUGAGCGAAGAAGGUCUUCGGAUCGUAAAGCUCUGUUGUCAGGGAAGAACAAGUACCGUUCGAACAGGGCGGUACCUUGACGGUACCUGACCAGAAAGCCACGGCUAACUACGUG